rnacentral:rRNA from 1 species
AAACUAACUAGGAUUCCCUUAGUAACGGCGAGUGAACCGGGAAAAGCUCAAAUUUGUAAUCUGGCUGUCUUCGAUAGUCCGAGUUGUAAUCUAUAGACGUGUUUUCCGUGCUGGACCGUAUCUAAGUCCCUUGGAACAGGGUAUCAAAGAGGGUGACAAUCCCGUGCUUGAUACGACCACCAGUGCUCUGUGAUACACGCUCUACGAGUCGAGUUGUUUGGGAAUGCAGCUCAAAAUGGGUGGUAAAUUCCAUCUAAAGCUAAAUAUUGGCGAGAGACCGAUAGCGAACAAGUACCGUGAGGGAAAGAUGAAAAGCACUUUGGAAAGAGAGUUAAACAGUACGUGAAAUUGUUGAAAGGGAAACGAUUGAAGUCAGUCGUGUUCUUUGGAUUCAGCUAGUUCUUCUAGUCUACUUCCAUUGAACGGGUCAACAUCAGUUUUGUCCGGUGGAUAAAGAUAGUAGGAAUGUAGCUCCCCCGGGAGUGUUAUAGACUAUUAUUGCAUACACUGGGUGAGACUGAGGACUGCAGCUCGCCUUUUGGCCGGUCUUCGGACACGUUCGAGCUUAGGA